AGCGAAGCUGAUGAAGUCAGGGAUCGGAACGUGAAUGCCACUUCUAAUCCCAAGGCCGCAGGUUCGAAUCCUGCCGGGC
rnacentral:tRNA from 1 species